rnacentral:lncRNA from 1 species
ACGGACAGGAUUAAAGGCAUUUGAAAAUUGAGUCCACAGAGCAGACCUUAGCAACCAUAUUUGGAGGGGAAGACAGAGUUGAAGCAACUUAACCAGGGUUAAAGUAGGGUCAACCUAUGGAUUCAAGGUUAGCGUAGGCUGGGCACUUGGCCAACAAGCAUAAGUUUGAUUUUCUUCAAAAUAGUAACUCCUAAUGCGAAGAGGAAGAGAGUCAGUGGCGUCUGGCUGAGGGAAGAAGGAGCCUGGCUGCACCGCUGUCUGGGGUCUGUGGCCUAGGCCAGGUACAAUUGACAGCCUCCCCACACGGAGCCACUUCUUCACGACAGGACAUCAAGGUGAGUGGUACUCCCUUGUCAAACCAUCCCUGACACAGAAGACUACACGUGAAGCACCUUCCG